GAACACUUUUAUUUACAUGAACUAGAUGAACAUCAUUCGUCGGUACACCAAAAUGCCAUAGUUUUCUAUACCCGGCUACAUUCCAAAAGGGUACCCAACAUUUCUAAUAGUCGUAUACGUAAGGUCCAUCGUUUAGUGUCGGCGUCCAAAAAUUUCUUCCUCUGCUGACCCCAUCUCAUGGUCACACCUAGCCCUUUGGUCUGUUUGCUAGUGGUGGUGGCAGUGGCCCCAACGUUCGUCCAUACCAAUGGACAAAUACAGCGAUAUACUCCCGGAGUACAAGGCUGGUGGGAAGAUCGGUAUCGAACACCAUAAUGACUCUCACUCGUACAAACGUCAGUCCUCGCAACUCAGGGUCUUGAUACUCCAACCGCUCUCGCUGUAAGUCGAUCAGGACUCCAUAGAAUGUACCAAGAGGUGCAGGCAGCAGAGGCAUCUUAUCUAUUCUGAAAGGUUAGUCCCCAAAAGGGGUGAGUACAACCACCCAGCAGCGAAAGAUCCAUUAAACUAUAUCAUGCAUAACCAUCAUAAUCUAUUCAUGCAAGAUAGACAAAACAUAUAACCAAAGGAAUAAGUAUGCAUCAAAUCCAUGGAACUUUUCAAAGUAAUAACAAGUGCAAUUUCAAAACUAGAAUGCACCAAUUUCAGUCACACAGGUCCCGAUUAUAGGGCCUAACUAUUAUAACACGUCCCAUUCGAUGCCACAUAAUUUUGUCCCAUAAUUAGGCGCAAUUAUCAGCAGGAUCAUCAGUUUUAAAACUCAGUUUAUUUUCAUUUCCCUACGUCUAUCCCAGAGGAUUAGUGUUUGUGUCCCUCCGGGCAUUUGCACCCAACCUGGCGUCAUGAAAGCCUCCGGGCAUGUGUUCAUAAUACAACCAGGCAUCCAGAGCAUGUUGCGUUACACCUCUAGGCAUCUCGCACCUCACCUAGCAUCACAAGGAAUCUCCAGGGCUCGCCAUGAAAAUGGUUACCGCUACCCUCCGGGCAUGUAUUCAAAAUACAACCGGACAUCCCGACACUGCCGGGGUACCUCUGGGGCAUUGCGGAGCCCAGGCAUCCAAAGGGCAUCAACUCUUGCGAACCUUUGGGCCUCCCGACUCCUGGGGCAUCUUUGACCCGAGGGUCCAACGGCAACAAUAUCAUCUCACAUUAUCUCAAUAUCAAAAACAUUUUCAAUGCAAUGACAUCGGAAGUUCCAUGAGUUUUCAUCGAAAUCUCCAUGUUGAAUAAUAUGCUGGAUGCCAAAACCAUCAUAUCAGAUAAUAAACCAAGAUGCAUUCACCUUUGGUGUAAAUUGAGCAAAUUCGGAAUAAAGACAAUCCAGAAAUCAGAACGCACAGUUUCAGUAAUAAUUUUGGAAUGACCCAUAAACGAACUCAGAAAAUUCUAAUAUUUUAGUAUGUUAUAAAAAAGAUCUAAAGGAAAGAGUUUCAUGAAGAACACUAAGCCAAAUUAUUCACGUAUCAAGAGUAAUAAAUCACACAACUCGGUUUCAGAUUUCUUUUAUCAACAAAAUUUACAUUUCGGCAGAAAGCAUUGUACAUUAAAAGAAGUUUAUGCCACUAUAUUGAUUCCGAAAAAUCUGACCAAAACAUAUGUUCUAGUUUAAACCAUUCCCCACAACUUCCAUGAAGGAAUCGGGACCAAAAUCGCACUAGAGUUGUCCCUAGAAAAUCUACAAAAUUGCUGAGUUAUACAUGACUUAUUUGGACAGUGUGGAUUCAGCAGGAUCCCGUGCCUAUACCGCGACAAUCUCACAUCCAAAAAUCCACCAUAAACCGGUCUUUCGAUCAUAAUUCAAUAGAAUCGAAAAUGCCUAGAGAAAACCAAAGUAUUUCCUCAAUUUCAUAGUUCCAACCUACUUCAAUCACCCAAUAACUCAGCAUUCAACAUCCAACUCAAACAUUUCUUAAGUCCAAUUGCACCACAUCAGACAAUAACAGCAUUGCAUUAUAUAGGUUAGUAGACUUCCACUUGCCUCAAGUCCUAAGCACCAACGGCAAGUAAAAACAGGAAGCUCGGGUCACGGACACAGCUCAGCGACGGCGAACACAAGUGGUGUCGACAGCGGCAGCGCACACGCACGGCAGAGGGCAGCCUCCUUCCUUUCCCUCGCCGUUCACUCCCUCACGAAUCUCUCUCUCGCUCGUUCUCUCUUUUGCUCGCUCGCUGCGCUCUCUCUCUCUCGCUCGGACUUUCUCUCUCUUGCUCACACUUACGAGCGUUUUGUUCCUUUGGUUAGUUGACUUUAAGAGUCAAUAAAAGUGAAGCUCGGUGGCCGCACGCGCAAGGGGCAGCUGUUGAAGACGUGGCCUCUUGCAUGCGGAUUCUUCUCCUUGCCGAGCCAGCAAAGCCACACUCUCCCAUUUGCUGUCCACCGAAGGAAGUGCUACGUGGCUUGGUCAAAUGGGCUUCUUUGGUUGACUCCAAUUUGUCGACCAAGAGGAGAGAGGGCUCGGGAUUACUUGGGCCAACAAAUUUGUGGCCGCAUUGUCCUUAAUACAUGACCCAAAUUCCUUCCAACUGUUAGCCCUAAAUUUCUAUACGUGCAUGGAGCAUUUUCGGUUCCAUGGUCUUCAUGGAAUCAACUAAUCUCCUUUUAUUCAACCACCACAUGUACAUGUACGUGGCUGCAAUUCUUGCAUGGAGAAAGAAUUCGACAAGGUUGCAUGGUGAUCGAUGAGGAAGAACGACAUGCAAGGUUGUUGUAUAAUCCUGGUCACAUCUUCAUUUGCUCGAGGGGUACACAAUUGGACAGCUAAAAAAUUAUCAUAAAAGAUAUCUUGUCGACACAUCUUAUGGAAUAAACCUCAGUCUCACUUCAAUGUAAGGAAGAUUUUUAAUAAGACUAUAAUUUCUUCAACGAUCAGGCCAUUACUAAACGUGACAUAUCAAUCCGAUAAUGAUAACAAAACGAUGUCCAUUGUGGUGUCAAUAACACUGUCCGACGAUACUUCCAUUGCUUAGUCACGGACCAUCGCAUAUCCGAGGGUCGUCAAAAUUUCCGAAUGCCACAUCCUGCUCCGUCAGGCAUGGCAUCAUCCUGCGUAUUCAUACGCAUUAGGAUGGCAUUCCAAUAAGGAGUAUCGGUCCGGCCUCUACAGCGACUCGGCAUCCAUUGACGUGGGGCAUCUGAACUUAACCAGGCAUCGUCCCGCAUAUUCAUACGCAUCAAGAUGGGUUCGUUACCCCGCAUAAUCAUACGCAUCAAGGUAUUUAGGUAAUCACACGAGCACACCAUCAAUCAAACCACUUUUUAUUGCCGUUAUUAGCCAGGAAAACCAAAAUCCCUUUUUAAAUGAUAAAACUUAUAACUCCCUUUUUUUUGUUCAAAACCUUACAAAAUAAAUUCGUACAGGGUCACGUAUUUGAAAUUAACCCGCCAAACUUUGCACGCAUUUAGUAUAAAACCUCCUCAUUUUAUUGAGCACAUAAAAUUUGGCGUCCAAACCCGACACCUCAUUUAUUUUCUAUUUUCUUUUCCAACCACCCCUUUUUGGAACUAAACUUGGGUAAUCCCCUUUUUUUUUCUUUAAAACUUUUGGAAAGAAAUUCGUAGGUGCUUACGUGCUCAAAAUUAAUCCGUCAAACUUUACAUGCACCUAGUUUAAAACCUUAUUGUUUUAUCGAGCAAAUAAGUUUUGGUGUUCAAACCCGACACCUCAUUGUUUUUCUAAUUAAUUGCCCAUAAUGCCAUCUUUUGCAAUAAUAAUAAUCAAUCACCAUAGAACAACCAUUCACAUAAUAUCACGCAUAAAUUCUAAGCAUGCAAAAAAUCACCCAAAUCACAAAACAUACAUUUUCCAUCAGGCGAGAUACCAAGAACAACCACAAAACCACAAUCGGCCCUAACUGACAGAAAACGGGUCCACUCGUGCGUCUCUAAGUUUAAUUCCAGAAACAUAACCAAAAGAGUUCAAAAAAUUCUCAAAUUUGAAUAUAUUAUAAAAGACAUUUAAGUGAACACAUUUCAUGAAGACACCUUGACCACAUCUUUCUAGAAUAAGAUCAGCAAAUAGUCCAAACCGUUAUCAAAACUGUGUCCGUGUCUAGAAAUUAUGUUUUCCAAAACUAGUUUGGUUUGAGGUCCAAAACUCGUCUGUUUGAUCUAAAAUUUGAUUAUGUUAAACUAAAAAAUGUGAUGAACAACUUUUGUGAAGAAACUCUUUCAAAAAUCGAACCCUAAGAGUUGAUAAAAAUCUUUUAAACACCAAAAGGUCACGGGUUCUAGCACAAACCGAGAUUCUGUCUUGCCUGUAACAAAGCUGAAACCUUGUUCUUUUAAAUCCCUAAAAUCUUGAGUAAAUUAUAUGUCAUAGCUGAAGAUGCUUAAAACAUUUUUCAAGAAUGAAGCAACCUCAAAAUUGUAGCACAUUUUAACCCACAAAAAUAGCAAACGGCGAGUGUCCAGUAAAUAGAUCCGAAGUGAAGCUAAUCCAACUUAACACUAAUCUAAUCAGGCUAAUUAAUACUAAUCUAACCAAGUUAAUUAACACUAAUCUAACCACCUAAGUGCAAUUAAUAACCUAAUCAAGGAUUAUGGAGUUAAUUCAUCAGAUUAAGACAGCGGUGGGCUUACGACGACGGCAACGCGACGGCAAUGAGAACCCAAGACUAUCGUGUCUCGAACGGAGACUCGACGGCGGCUGGAUCAGUCCUACAAGUCUCGGCCAAGGAAGAGGGGGCUUCGGCUUGGGGCUAUUGUAGUGGCUACGGGGCUGCGGUGGAGGAGCUGGGCUUUGGUGGGACUAUUCAAUGGUCUCGAUGAAGGUGGCUAUGGUGGAUGGCAGUGAAACGAGUUGCUGGCGUGAAUGGUGCUGAAUUGAGACGUUGCUGGGGCGUGAGGUGUUGGAGGGUCGUGUUGGCGGCUGUGGUGUGGCCAAGGGGGGAGAUGGAGGUGCUGGUUGGUGGUGGGAUGAGGGAGUAAUGAAGAUGGGAUGAGGGGAUGAAGGUGGCGUUGGGGUGGGUGGAUGAGGGGAAAACGUGAGGGGAAGUGGGCGUGCGGCAGAAGGGAGAAGAAGAUGGGGCUGAGGGGAAAGAAAGAAUGGGUAGAGAGAGGGGGGCCUGAAUGUGAGAGAGAGGGAGGGAGAAAACCAUGAAGGUCAAGUGA
rnacentral:lncRNA from 1 species